CUCAGCUAAGCUGUUCCUCACAGGCCCAGGCGGAGUCAGCAGGGAGGCAGCCGGCCAUGGGCGCCUGCUCAGAAGACCCCCACCUGUGUGAGGCCUCUGGGCUCCUGCGAUUCACCAGCCUCCUCCUCAGUGUCUGCAGCGCUGUGACCCAGAGUCCUGGAGCCCGUGGGUCUGCAGUGGAUGAUUCUGGAAACCCUGUUCCUCUGAAGGGGAUUCAAGGAGCUUCUGUGCUAUUUCCAGUGAUCAGAAAACCAGAAUUACCUCCAGAAGUCAAGCUGGAGAGUAUUACAUGGGGCAUUAUAAAUAAAAAAAUCUACACACCCAUACUCCAAGUUAGUCCCGGGGGAGAUGUUCCAGAAUGGGUCAACUGCCAGGACAAGUUCGAGAAGAGGGUCCAUGUGCUCAACACAAUGACUCUGAGGAUUGACAACCUGACCCUUGAGGACAGUGGGCGGUACCGGGCUCAAGAGUCCUAUUCGAGAGGAAGACAGUAUCACCAGGAUUUCCACCUGACGGUCUACGAGGCUGUGCCCCCUCCCCAGAUCCAGGCCAUGGCUGUGUCCCUCACACCAGGCUGGUGCAACGUCACAGUGGAGUGUAACACCACAGGAACCAGGGAGGACCUGACCGUGUCCUGGGAGAGUGAGAGCCUCCCCAGGGAGCUGGAGCAGAGACCGGCCCCAGGACCAGCCCCCAACCCCUGGACCCUGGCUGUGAACCUGCCCCUGAGCCGGCCCAGCCUCAACCUCACCUGUGUGGUGAGCAACCAGGCGGACAAGAAAGCUGCCUCCUGGAACGUUGGGGACGUCUGUGGCCGUGGGGCAGGAUCGCAGGAGGAGUCCAGGGACCCGGAUGGUGGCAUCCACUAUGCAGAGCUGAACCAGCAGGAGUCUGGAGACCUCAGGGACAAGGGUAGGGGAGAACCACAUCUAGAAGAGGAGAACUCUCUCACUGCGGUCUACAGUGAGGUCCGCAGGCCAGGCCAGACCAUGACCAUGAUUUAAUGGGAAGAAGCAGGAGAAUCCCACCCCGGGGCACCUGUCUCGUGAGCAUGACGCCCGCAGCUCUGGUCCGACCUCUUACCCCUCUGACAGCUCUGAGAAGGGACUGGAUGGAUCCAGCACUUAUUUCUGUGCUAAAUCCGUGUGCACAAGCUCCCUGUGAGACACACACUGGUAGAUCAGGGAAACUGAGUAAAUAAAUUGGUCCUAACCUGUUCA
rnacentral:lncRNA from 1 species